rnacentral:piRNA from 1 species
UGCGAAGCCAGGGAUCCCCCCACCUC